UGGGGAAUUGUUCGCAAUGGGCGCAAGCCUGACGACGCAACGCCGCGUGGAGGAUGAAGGUCUUCGGAUUGUAAACUCCUGUUGCCCGGGACGAAACGCUCCGACCUAACACGUCGGAGUCUGACGGUACCGGGUGAGGAAGCCCCGGCUAACUCUGUGCCAGCAGCCGCGGUAAUACAGAGGGGGCUAGCGUUGUUCGGAAUUACUGGGCGUAAAGGGCGCGUAGGUGGCCUGUUAAGUCGAACGUGAAAUCCCCGGGCUCAACCCGGGAACUGCGUCCGAGACUGGCAGGCUCGAAUCCGGGAGAGGGAUGUGGAAUUCCAGGUGUAGCGGUGAAAUGCGUAGAUAUCUGGAGGAACACCGGUGGCGAAGGCGGCAUCCUGGACCGGUAUUGACGCUGAGGCGCGAAAGCCAGGGGAGCAAACGGGAUUAGAUACCCCGGUAGUCCUGGCCCUAAACGAUGAGUGCUUGGUGUGGCGGGUAUCGAUCCCUGCCGUGCCGAAGCUAACGCAUU
rnacentral:rRNA from 1 species